CGGGGGGCCCGUGCACUCGUUCGAUUCAAGUAGGCGGUUCGGCAGUUAUUACUCCGCCAAGGAGGCCAGUGCCUUCCCGACAAUACUACUCCAUUUCUAUCUUAAACCCUUCCAAAAAACAAUAUUCACCCUCCUUUCUGGAUUGCUAUAGGAUACCAAAGUCAGAAAAUCACAAGCAAGUGAGUGCGGGCAAAUAGAACUGCAAAUAGUACUCCAGAAGAGGCCCUACCAAUGUCCUGUGCAACCUUAAGGUGGCCUCCCAACUGCUAUACUCAAAGGUUUGAUCCCUGGUCUGCUGAGAUAAUUUGUAACCACUCUACAGAUGUCUAUGUACACUGAUAUCAAGAAGUUUAAAAUGGCUAUAUGUGGUACAAAAAUAACCAUUAUAUUUCUAUAAAAAUAUAUCAAGUCUUCAACAUUUUACGGAACCAGACUAUCAUUUAGUGGAGGAGGUGAUUGUAAAUGGAUGAGGCAGAAUGACAAAACAAAGGUCACACUUAGCUUUAUGUCUCUAUGCUCUAAGCUGCUGCAAUCAAGAUCAUUUUUUAUUCUUGGAGUUGUUGAAUUUGGAGCUUUGGCUUUGAUUGGAUUCGAGACUGAAAGUCUGUUUGCACACACUGCAUCCAUUUGCAAAAUUAAUCUCAUCAUAAAGAAGGGUAAUACUAAAUCUGUCUGUCCUUCAAUGUUUUCUUACAUAAUCCUUGAGUCCAACUUAACAGCAAGUGACCGUACAACAAUGUGCUACCAUUUAGUGGAGACAAAAUGUCCCAUGGUGCUUCGCAGAAGCAUAAUUAGAUAGAAAAAGACAUUGAGGCAAGUAAGAGGUAUUAAGAACAUAAGAACAAGGAGCAGGAGUAGGCAAUUCUACUCCUUGAGCUUGCUGUGCCAUUUAAUACAAUUAUGGCUGAUCUCAUCUGAGUCAAAUCCACUUUCCUGUCUGCUCUUCAUAACCUUUCUACUCGUAAUCAAGUAGAAAACUGUCUAUCUCCUCCUUAAAUUGACACAAUGCCCUAGCAUCCACCAUACUCUGGGGUCGUGAAUUCCACACAUUCAUUAGUCUUUCAGAGAAUUAAUUUCUCCUCAUCUGUUUUAAAUCUGCUAUCUCUUAUCCGAUUAGGAAGGGUGACUAAAAAAAACGGUCAAAGAGGA